UGCUGCUCAAACAUCCAAUGGUCAAAUAAUGUAUUAGAUAAUAAGACACGGUUAUUAGGAAAAAUAAUUAAAAAGAAAUGUACUUUCAUCCAACAAAAGCGAAUAGGUAUUAGAAAAUAAUUAGUUCAUUGCAAAAUGGUAUUUAAACGGCAUACCUUAUCGCUCCUUCUCUUCAAGAUUUUUGAAAAUCUCUUUGUACACGUUUGAUUAUUCUGUUUCUUGUUCCAUUCGAUUUUGUGAUAUGUUUUUGUUCAUUAAUAGUCAUCUUGUUAUUUGUGUUUGAAAAAGAGGUUCAAGUUGAUCAGCAUAUUUUUCCCAAAGACAACAUGCAAGAUCAUUUCCUCUGAAAGUUAUGGCAAGUUAUUUAGGUUCUGAAUAAUAAAAUAUGUACUCACUACAAGAAAAAUGGGCUUUGAUAGCAGUGAAGGAUAACGUUUUUUGCCUUUCUGCUAUGAUUGACAUACCCGUUAGUUUUAGAUAGCGUUUGUAUAUUUAGAACCGCUAUGAUAGAACUGUAUAUUUAAAAACGCUAUGCUAGCGUAUUUUUAAUAGCGCAUUAUUAAAAACGCUAUCUUUAACUUUUUAAAUCUCUAAACCCUAAACAAGUUUUAAACCCUAAACUUUAAACAUAACUUCAAAAUCUAACUAUUUUGAUAUCAAAUCUUAAAUUUAACCUCAAAUAUUAAAUAUAAAUUCAAAAAUUAUUUCUUUUUCAAUAAUUAAUCUUAAAUCCCAAUACCUUAAACCUUUAACCCCAAACCCUAUACUCAAACCUUUAUUCUAAACUCAUAACUUUAAAUCUAAAAUCUAAAUUCAAAAAAAAAAAUCAAACUUAAACUUAAUUCUUCAAAUUAAUUCAAAUUUAUUUUCGAAUUUUAACUUAAAGUCUUAACCUUGAACUCUAAACCUUAUAUACUCAAAUCUUAUAUAUCAUAAUAAACCUCAAACCUUCAAUAUACACAUUUAGUUAUCAAACUAAAUAAUAAAUCACAAAUCUAAUGUUCUCAAAGUUAGACACCAAACUUUGAGCAUACAUUUUUAAAAAUUAAUAUGUUUAAAUUUUAAACCUUUAAACUAAUUUUAUUUACUAUACUCUUGUAUUUUAAACCUUUAAACUAAUUUCAUUUUACAUUUAAAGUAAAUCAUAACUUAUAAAUAAUAUUAAAAUUUCAGUCUAUUAUUUGAAACAUUGAACCAAACUAUAAUUACAUUAAUUAUAUAUAUUUUUUGGUCGAAAUUAUAUAUAAAUAUUUAACUUAAUUAUUAUAUUAAAUGAAAACAGUUUUUAAUGGAUUAAUUUUGGCCUUUGAUUGAUUUCAAUCCAAUGGCCACAAAUAUGUUUGGUUUAUCUUUUUUCUUCUUUCUCAUUGGUCAAUAUCUUAAUUACAAGGAUAGCUAUCUUAACCACUGAAUAUUUUUGAUCCUAUGGCUAGAAAUCACACAUCUCAUAUCUCAAUCUCUUUCUUCUUGUCUCACGUUAUCUCUCUCUCUCUCUCUCUCUCUCUCUCUCUCUCUCUCUCUCUCUCUUUGUUACAGAUCUAAAUAUGAUCUCAUAUCUUUUUUAAUUCUUUGGAUCUCUAUCUUCCUCAAUCACCACCACCACAACCACCCGUUUGUUUUUGCCGUCCCAGCAUCACAACCACCACCACACGACCGUUCGUUCGCCGUCCAAGCAUCACCACCACCACACAACCACGGGAUGGAGGAAGCAAGGCAAGGCAGGUAUGGCGGCUAGAGGAGGAAGAUGACGGCUUCAGAUUCAGGAAGAGGAAGCUGACGGCGAGUUGGUGAGGAGGCGACGAGAUUAGGUCUAGAUGGAUGUGAUGUUUGCCUCCUCUCUGCAACUUGCAUCUCAAAUCCCAGGAUGAAGAAGAAGGAUCAUGGCUGGAAAAACACGAAGACGAAGGUGGUGGUGCGGCCUGUAGAUGAAGAAGACAACGAAGUGGUGGUGUGUUUAGUUAGUAAUUAGGUUAAAGUCUGGUUUAGUUUUUGGUUUAUUUAGUUUGUUGGUUUAUUAUUUAAUUAGAUUUUUUUUUGUAUUUUUGUAAACAAAUUUCAUUAUAGAUAAAUUUAAGUAAUAAAUAAAAUUUGAUUCUAUGAA